GACGAACGCUGGCGGCGUGCUUAACACAUGCAAGUCGAACGGAAAGGCCCUGCUUUUGUGGGGUGCUCGAGUGGCGAACGGGUGAGUAACACGUGAGUAACCUGCUCUUGACUUUGGGAUAACUUCAGGAAACUGGGGCUAAUACCGGAUAGGAGCUCCUGCUGCAUGGUGGGGGUUGGAAAGUUUCGGCGGUUGGGUAUGGACUCGCGGCUUAUCAGCUUGUUGGUGGGGUAGUGGCUUAUCAAGGCUUUGACGGGUAGCUGGCCUGAGAGGGUGACCGGCGACAAUGGGACUGAGAUAAGGCCCAGCCUCCUACGGGAGGCAGCAGUGGGGAAUAUUGCACCAUGGGCGGAAGCCUGAGGCAGCAACGCCGCAUGCGGGAUGACGGCCUUCGGGUUGUAGGCCCCUUUCGCCUGUGACGAAGCGUGAGUGAGGUAAAUGUGUAAAGAAGCACCGGCUAACUACGUG
rnacentral:rRNA from 1 species